rnacentral:rRNA from 1 species
GACGAACGCUGGCGGCGUGCUUAACACAUGCAAGUCGAACGGAAAGGCCCUGCUUUUGUGGGGUGCUCGAGUGGCGAACGGGUGAGUAACACGUGAGUAACCUGCCCUUGACUUUGGGAUAACUUCAGGAAACUGGGGCUAAUACCGGAUAGGAGCUCCUGCUGCAUGGUGGGGGUUGGAAAGUUUCGGCGGUUGGGGAUGGACUCGCGGCUUAUCAGCUUGUUGGUGGGGUAGUGGCUUACCAAGGCUUUGACGGGUAGCCGGCCUGAGAGGGUGACCGGCCUCAUUGGGACUGAGCUACGGCCCAGACUCCUACGGGAGGCAGCAGUGGGGAAUAUUGCACAAUGGGCGGAAGCCUGAUGCAGCAACGCCGCGUGCGGGAUGACGGCCUUCGGGUUGUAAACCGCUUUCGCCUGUGACGAAGCGUGAGUGACGGUAAUGGGUAAAGAAGCACCGGCUAACUACGUG